rnacentral:lncRNA from 1 species
UGUGUAGACAAGUGUGCACGGCGCAUUGUGGUAUGUUCAUGUUUCCAAGAUGCGUUUUGGUCGAUUAUUGAAGGAACCACAACACAAGUUUCGCUUUGUGGCCUUUUUGAGUGUAGCGGAACGCGUUGUGAGCUCUUUUGGGGGUGGCACGACACGAAUUUCGCGUUGUGGUUGGGUCAGAGGGGUCGGAGCGCGAUGUGGUCGUUUUUUUGCUCAAAGAGCGUUUUCGGUUGUUGAGCCUAACAUAUAUACAAAAGUGAAAGAGUGGAUACAGUAUUUAAAAAGUUAGUGCUUGCUUAAUUUAUUACUGCUUGAAAUAAGACCCUAAACUCGUUUGCUUUGUCUUUUCAAUAGCCUUUCGCUGAAUGGUGCUACAUAAAUUUCUGAGGAUUAAUUUUUCCAUGCAGUUACUGUUUUCUUGGUGUUCUGAGUAAUCAGGAAGAGCUUUGC